ACAGUGGCGUGUUGGACUGAGGUGUGGGUGAGCUGCUGCCAGGCUGGAGGCAGCAGGAUCUGCUGGGUGCCGCUCGGCCAGGCCUGCUGAAGAAGGAGAGAAAAAUGAGUUGGAGGGUAAACAAAGAUUUAAAGAACGAGAGGACUAUCAGGCAAGCUACGCUCCGAGAUGUGCCAAGAUGACUUAUUCAGGUUCUGUAACCAGUCCUCUCUGCUUGCCAUCUCCACUGACUGUGAUAAAGGAGUAAUCUGCAGAAUGAGGUGAGAAAUAAUCACACCGCCCUCCGCUCGUGGAAUAGAUGACUUUGGGGAAAUGUAUAUAGUUUGGUGGCACAAUAAUCAAACUGGAUAAGAAGAAGCAUAUGAAGAAUCAUUUUUUUCACCACCUGGUGAAUUAAGAUAUGUGAAUUUAUUAGAUAGAAAAGAUAUCGGUAUAAUUUGAUGACUUUCCAUAACAAUGAAAAUGAAAACUUAAAAAAAAGAAAGAAAAAAGUUGGGGCUUCAUCUAACAUGGUCAGCUUUGCAUGUCAGUGGUUGUUAAUGGAACCACAUCUGUGUGGUGGAAGCUCUGACAUGACUGGAGUAGGGGCAGGGAUGGCAGAUGUCGACCACUGCCUCAGGAAAUGUGGAGCGAGGCAUCCUGCUGUAUGCGGGCCUGCCAUCUACACAGCCAUAAUGUGUAGUUUCAUCUUUAACUACUAGGUUGAGUGGAUGAGGAAAGGAUAUGUAUUAAAAUAUAAUAACGAUUAAUGAAGACCACGUUCCUCCUCCUGCUGUGCGGCUUGACUUCUACCAGUAGAGAUACUGAAGGACUGCAGAUCAAAAUGAAUCCAUUUACAAGUACUUUUGGCCUUCCUUCCAUCUACAUCAGCCCCCCAGUGGGGUCCUGCAUCUGUUGUAAGUUGGUGUCUGAUUUACUCAAAUUAGAUAUACUUGUGACUAAACCCUCCACACAUUUCCCACAACUGAAAGGAGGUUCAUUAUCUCUUUUUGGCACCCAGCCCCUCUGUCUUGCGAGGCCUUCAGCUAUAUCAUCCAUUAUACACGCAGAGGCAGAUGUCCACAAUGCUGAGUUGUUUAUAUGGUCAGGACAGUGAGAGGGGGCAAAAUAGGCAGUUUUCUCCCACAUUAAGCCGUGCAGCUCUGCUGUAUUGCUGUGUUUAUGUUGUAGACGAAGACAGGACACAGAGCUUGAAGCGCAGAAGACAGCGAUGACCCAGGGGAUAUCAUACCAGUGCAGGUUGGUUUCAUUAAACUCUGUGUUGCACGUGUGUUUGUGUGUAUGGGGCAACUGUAAACUCUCAGGAAGCGAUACUAUCAUGCCCCAGCCCACAGCAUGUUAUUCCAGACAGGCCUGACAGCGGCCCUGGGCACUAGUGGACAACCAUAAUUGUCUCCAUCAGUUAAGCGGAUACAUGUGUUGCGUAUCCAUAUGGGCAGAUUCCAAAGGGCUGCUGGUUGGGAAUGACCAUAAUUUAAAAGCAAAUAAAUAAAUGAAAAAUUCCUCAUAACUCUCAGCUAGUCAUUAUCAGAGAUAUAAUCAAGGAGCAUGAUGACGACAGAGUACUAUGAGAGAUUUGAAAGGCCUGGGAAAAUAACUGUAAUUUUUAUCACCACUGCCAAAUCUGCCAGCAGAACCAGUAUUUAGCCAAGUGAGGGUGAACACAACAACGCUCGCUAUCAGUCACUGUCAGGCAUGUCCUAUCAAAAUGUCAUGGCUACAUGUGAACUUUCCCACCACGGGGAGACGAAUUCAUCCUCAGUUACAGAGAGGCAUUACAUAUAGCGGUCCCAAUUUGCAGUGUUUUUCUUUGUAUAUAUCGCACGUAGUUUAAACACUUCCCGAGGUUAUGUAAUCUCCUAAAUAAACAAAUUCCCACAGGUAACACGCAGAGCUGCACGGGAAGACAAGAUUCAUGCAGAAACAACAUGGCGUGGGACCCACUGAGCCAGCCUGAAAAACUUGUCGGAAAACCAGGAAUAACGUGUGGAUGUAUCUUAGUUGGUUUAUCUUAGUCCCUCUACAUGCUUACGUGUACAGCAGAUGCACAAAGUGGAGACACAGCCACUCCACUCACUGCAGCUUAAAGAAGAAAGCAAACUGUACAUAUUGAGCCUGCUAACCAGCCACGCCACAUGUUCAGUUCAAAUGUCUGUCUGUAAGUUAUUAAAUAGUGGUUAAGCAAAAUGAAGAGCAGAGGCAGAGUUUGGGAUGGGGUUCAUUGAACAGCUGCUUUCAUUUCACUUGGUAAAAUUCUAUAUAGGAGCGGAGCUACACUGCAGCUGGAGAUCAGACCUUGGCCAGAUAAAUAUUUUAAGGGAUUUCAAAUAUUUGAUAGAUAAUUCUCAGGAUGUGAUGGAUCAAACUGGCCCAGGACCUGAACACCCCCAUCAAAGAAGCCUCAAACAUGAGACAGGUGGAUACGAUUGUAGCAAAAGACAAAGCAAAAGCAAAUAAUACAUCUACUGUGUGAUUUGUGGGAAGGAAGACGUCGUGCUUUGUGAUACUGAGAC